ensembl:misc_RNA predicted gene, 25392
GGCUGAGAAACAUCUGUCUUGACAUUGGUCACCCACUAUUCACAGAGGUAGUUUGGCUGAUCUUGUUGGCUAGGCUGGUGUCCACUUCCUUCUCCACAUUUCAUCUAUAUCCAUCUAGAAGCUCUUUGUGCAAAGUUGAAAAGGACCUCCAACCCCAAAACAGGAUAGGUCUGCAAUUGAGGUAGAGGAGUAGCUGUGUACCCCUGCUAGUACUGCUAGACAAGCUCUCAAGGUUGAACUUUACAAUGGAAGAAACGCUGUUUUAGUUCCUUGUCUUGUGAUUUUCUAUACAACCAA